ensembl:snoRNA
ACCCUUUUGUAGUUCAUAGCAUGAUGCCUGGGUUUUCAUGUUCAUGUGUGAGAUGUGCCCCUUCAAACUUUUUCAUGAUAUCUGGUGGAUU